rnacentral:rRNA from 1 species
GGGGGAAUAUUGGGCAAUGGGCGAAAGCCUGACCCAGCAACGCCGCGUGAAGGAAGAAGGCCCUCGGGUUGUAAACUUCUUUUGUCAGGGACGAAGCAAGUGACGGUACCUGACGAAUAAGCCACGGCUAACUACGUGCCAGCAGCCGCGGUAAUACGUAGGUGGCAAGCGUUAUCCGGAUUUACUGGGUGUAAAGGGCGUGUAGGCGGGAGUGCAAGUCAGAUGUGAAAACUAUGGGCUCAACCCAUAGCCUGCAUUUGAAACUGUACUUCUUGAGUGAUGGAGAGGCAGGCGGAAUUCCCUGUGUAGCGGUGAAAUGCGUAGAUAUAGGGAGGAACACCAGUGGCGAAGGCGGCCUGCUGGACAUUAACUGACGCUGAGGCGCGAAAGCGUGGGGAGCAAACAGGAUUAGAUACCC